UACGUAGGGUGCAAGCGUUGUCCGGAAUUAUUGGGCGUAAAGAGCUCGUAGGCGGUUUGUCGCGUCUGCUGUGAAAACCCCGAGGCUCAACCUCGGGCCUGCAGUGGGUACGGGCAGACUAGAGUGCGGUAGGGGAGAUUGGAAUUCCUGGUGUAGCGGUGGAAUCGCAGAUAUCAGGAGGAACACCAAUGGCGAAGGCAGAUCUCUGGGCCGUAACUGACGCUGAGGAGCGAAAGCAUGGGGAGCGAACAGG
rnacentral:rRNA from 1 species